AUGAUUUUCCUAAAAUUGAGAUGUAGCAAUAAGGUGUAUUAAAUAAAUUAUAAUAUGAAGUUUUACCAUAAAACUUUCAAGAAAAUGUUGUUCUUCAUUUUACUCUCGGUUCUUGUAACUGAGUCUUUGGGAAUUGAAUGUAGUAAGGAUAGAUCUGGUCGGCCUGAUCCCAAUGCCAUACCAUUUUCAAUUGGAAACUUUAAAUUACAAGCAGGUUAUAUUAAUUGGCAGAUAACAUAUAUCCCAAUUUGCCCAAACUCCGUUCUGGAGAUCAAAGUGUGUGAUGACGUCAAACCACAGCUGAUGGUGCUGUCGCCUUGGCGGGUGUCCGUGGUCCGUCGAGGCUCUCGUGGUUCCAGGACAAUGGUGAAAGGGAAGUGGUGGUGUCUGCCAGGGACUGUGGACGAGAGCAAAUUGAUGCAACCGGCUAUUGCUACUGCUUUGGUGAUUUAAUAAAAAGAUUGAAACAAGAUUCUUUUGAGACAUCAGUUUGGGACUGUCUGACAGAUCUAUCAAAUAAAAGUAGAACAAUUUA